GUGUUCGCUUCAGCAGCACAUACACUAAAAUUGGAAUGAUACAGAGAAGAUUAGCAUGGCCCCUGGGCAAGGAUGACACACAAAUUCGUGAAGCAUUCCAUAUUUUU
rfam:Myotis brandtii contig250929, whole genome shotgun sequence.